rnacentral:misc_RNA from 1 species
GAUGAAGAACGCAGCGAAAUGCGAUAAGUAGUGUGAAUUGCAGAAUUCAGUGAAUCAUCGAAUCUUUGAACGCACUUUGCGCCCGCCAGUAUUCUGGCGGGCAUGCCUGUUCGAGCGUCAUUUCAACCAUCAAGCCCCAGGCUUGUGUUGGAGCCCUGCGGCUGCCGCAGCCUCCCAAAACCAGUGGCGGGCUCGCUAUCACACCGAGUGCAGUAGUUUACUCUUCGCUCAGGGCGUGUGGCGGGUGCUAGCCGUAAAACCCCCAACUUCUCAAGGUUGACCUCUGAUCAGGUAGGAAUACCCGCUGAACUUAAGCAUAUCAAUAAGCGGAGGA